CAGCCGCCACGGUAAUACGUAGGGUGCGAGCGUUAAUCGGAAUUACUGGGCGUAAAGCGUGCGCAGGCGGUUUUGUAAGACAGAGGUGAAAUCCCCGGGCUCAACCUGGGAACUGCCUUUGUGACUGCAAGGCUAGAGUACGGCAGAGGGGGAUGGAAUUCCGCGUGUAGCAGUGAAAUGCGUAGAUAUGCGGAGGAACACCGAUGGCGAAGGCAAUCCCCUGGGCCUGUACUGACGCUCAUGCACGAAAGCGUGGGGAGCAAACAGGAUUAGAUACCCCGGUAGUCCCUGUCUCUUAUAC
rnacentral:rRNA from 1 species